GACAGCGUGGCUCAGUGGAAAGAGCCUGGGCUUUGGAGUCAGAGGUCAUGGGUUCGAAUCCCGGCUCGGCCA
rnacentral:tRNA from 1 species